UGCAACCCGACUCCAUGAAGCUGGAUUCGCUAGUAAUCGCGCAUCAGCCACGGCGCGGUGAAUACGUUCCCGGGCCUUGUACACACCGCCCGUCACACCAUGGGAGUCGGUAACACCCGAAGUCGGUAGUCUAACCGAAAGGAGGACGCCGCCGAAGGUGGGAUUGAUGACUGGGGUGAAGUCGUAACAAGGUAAC
rnacentral:rRNA from 1 species